rnacentral:tRNA from 1 species
GGGCGUGUAGCUCAGCGGUAGAGCGCGGAGCUUAUACCUCCGUGGCCGCAGGUUCGAAUCCUGCCACGCCCA